rnacentral:rRNA from 1 species
GCAAGUCGAGGGGUAACAGGUUUGUGCUUGCACAGAUGCUGACGACCGGCGCACGGGUGCGUAACGCGUAUGCAACCUACCUCAUACUGGAGGAUAGCCCCUGGAAACGGGGAUUAAUACUCCAUAGUAUCACGAAUUCGCAUGUUUUUGUGAUUAAAGUUUUUCGGUAUGAGAUGGGCAUGCGUCCCAUUAGCUUGUUGGUGAGGUAACGGCUCACCAAGGCAACGAUGGGUAGGGGGCCUGAGAGGGUGGUC